GACGAACGCUGGCGGCGUGCUUAACACAUGCAAGUCGAACGGAAAGGCCCUGCUUUUGUGGGGUGCUCGAGUGGCGAACGGGUGAGUAACACGUGAGUAACCUGCCCUUGACUUUGGGAUAACUUCAGGAAACUGGGGCUAAUACCGGAUAGGAGCUCCUGCUGCAUGGUGGGGUUUGGAAAGUUUCGGCGGUUGGGGAUGGACUCGCGGCUUAUCAGCUUGUUGGUGGGGUAGUGGCUUACCAAGGCUUUGACGGGUAGCCGGCCUGAGAGGGUGACCGGCCACAUUGGGACUGAGAUACGGCCCAGACUCCUACGGGAGGCAGCAGUGGGGAAUAUUGCACAAUGGGCGGAAGCCUGAUGAAGCAACGCCGCGUGCGGGAUGACGGCCUUCGGGUUGUAAACCGCUUUCGCCUGUGACGAAGCGUGAGUGACGGUAAUGGGUAAAGAAGCACCGGCUAACUACGUG
rnacentral:rRNA from 1 species